rnacentral:misc_RNA from 1 species
CAUACGCGAAGAAUUCAAAGGCCUAUAUCAUCCUCCCUCCUCACACCAUCAUUGGCAUCCAUAGAGACGCGCGCGCGUAGACAGAUACAGCUCACGCGUACAGAGAGACGCGUUCUGGUCGUGCGCAUCAUCAGCACAGCACUGACGAACGAAACUCGCACACAGGCACGCCGCCUCCCUCCACCCGUCAUAGAUAGCUGAAUAGCAGCCCUCCUCCUCCAUUGCCAUCGUCAUCCGGGUCCUGGCAAUACGAGGAUGUCCAGGGCAGCUGCGAGGUUUAAGAUUCCGAUGCCGGCGACGAAGGCGGACUUCGCCUUCCCCUCUCUGCGCGCCUUCUCCAUCGUUGUGGCCCUCGAUAAGCAGCACGGCAUCGGCGACGGCGAGUCGAUCCCGUGGCGGGUGCCGGAGGACAUGGCGUUCUUCAAGGACCAGACGACGCUGUUGCGCAACAAAAAGCCGCCGACGGAGAAGAAGCGCAACGCUGUCGUGAUGGGCCGCAAGACGUGGGAGAGCGUCCCGGUAAAGUUCCGACCACUCAAGGGACGGCUGAACAUUGUGUUGUCCUCGAAGGCCACCGUCGAGGAGCUUCUGGCGCCGCUGCCGGAGGGAAAGCGCGCUGCCGCGGCGCAGGAUGUGGUGGUGGUGAACGGCGGUCUGGCCGAGGCGCUCCGCCUCCUCGCACGCCCGCCGUACUGCAGCUCCAUCGAGACAGCGUAUUGCGUCGGGGGUGCGCAGGUUUAUGCGGACGCCAUGCUGUCGCCGUGCGUCGAGAAGCUGCAGGAGGUGUACCUGACCCGCAUCUACACGACGGCGCCUGCGUGUACGCGCUUCUUUCCGUUUCCGCCCGAGAACACCACCACGGCGUGGGACCUGGCGUCGUCUCAGGGACGCCGCAAGAGCGAGGCGGACGGCCUCGAGUUCGAGAUCUGCAAGUACGUGCCGCGUAACCAUGAGGAGCGGCAGUACCUUGAGCUGAUUGACCGCAUCAUGAAGACGGGGAUCGUGAAGGAGGACCGCACCGGCGUGGGCACCAUCAGCCUCUUCGGCGCACAGAUGCGCUUCUCCCUACGCGACAACCGCCUGCCGCUGCUGACGACGAAGCGUGUCUUCUGGCGCGGCGUGUGCGAGGAGCUGCUGUGGUUCCUGCGCGGGGAGACGAACGCGCAGCUGCUGGCGGACAAGGACAUUCACAUCUGGGACGGCAACGGCUCGCGCGAGUUUCUCGACAGCCGCGGCUUGACAGAGAAUAAGGAGAUGGACCUCGGCCCUGUCUACGGCUUCCAGUGGCGCCACUUCGGGGCAGAUUACAAGGGGUUUGAAGCGAACUACGACGGCGAAGGGGUGGACCAGAUCAGGUCCAUCGUGGAGACGAUCAAGGCGAACCCGAACGACCGCCGCCUUCUAUUCACUGCCUGGAACCCGUGCGCGCUGCAAAAGAUGGCGCUGCCGCCGUGCCACUUGCUUGCUCAGUUCUAUGUGAACACGGACACGAGCGAGCUAUCCUGCAUGCUGUACCAGCGCUCGUGCGACAUGGGUCUCGGCGUCCCCUUCAACAUCGCCUCCUACGCGCUGCUCACCAUCCUCAUUGCCAAGGCGACGGGCCUGCGGCCUGGUGAGCUUGUGCACACCCUUGGUGACGCCCACGUCUACCGCAACCACGUCGGUGCCCUCAAGUCGCAGCUCGAGCGAGUCCCGCACGCGUUCCCGACCCUCGUCUUCAAGGAGGAGCGUCAGUUCCUCGAGGACUACGAGUUAACGGACAUGGAGGUGAUCGACUACGUUCCACACCCGCCGAUCAAGAUGGAGAUGGCCGUAUAGAGAGAUAGGAGGCGCCAUGUGCGUCGUAUGCAUGCAGCUGCCGCCGUGACGCUGUCACUCACCUGGCUCCCGCCUCCUCGUCGCCCGGCGACCGCCCCUUGCGCAGACUCGCUGGGUAACCAUGAGCGGCGCGGAGGGGUGCGCGCCUGCGUUCUCUCGCACGUGGCUGCGGCUGAUCUCCCGACCGCACCCGCGCGCGCUCAGGCCGCGUGUCGUCGUGCUCUUCCCGUUUUUUUUUUCGUGCUUGUUUGAGCUGUUCUCCGUUGUGUGCUGGGACCCUCAUUCCCUCGAUCUCCUCGUGCGGGGUCUCCGACGCCGCAGACGCGGUGUGUGCUAGCGUCCGCGUCGCUGUCGCUGUCGCCGUGGCUGCGGUUGCGAGCGGAGAGAGAGGGAGUGAGUGAGGGAGGGCAGAGGACAUGCUUGUGGGAACGUGCACCGGCCUCGUCGCACGCAGCUGAAGCCCACGAACGCCACCACUGCAUCCUUCUUCCCCUUCUCUCUUACUACGGCGGCGGCGACGACGACGGGGCUCAGCUCACGCUCCUAUAAGUUAUUAUGCUUGAGUGCGUGUGCGUGCUGCGCUUGCGCUUUUUUGGUGCUCGUUCGCUUUCAAGUCCGCGACUCCUCCCGCUGCUCACCGUCAGGCUGCCUUCGUUCGCCUCUCCCUCGGUGCCUCUUCCGCCGCCGCACGCGUGCCCUGAUCGCGCGUCUUGCGUGAUGUGCCUGUGUGUAUACACACGGUGCACGGGGAGAGCGAGCGAGAGGAAGAAUGGCCGGUGCCUCGCGUGAGCGAGUGUGCACGAGUUUGUCGUGUCGCUGCGCCGCGUGGAUGUCGCGCAGCGCAAGACCUCGAGCGCCUGAAACGUGGAGGUAGAUGAGCGUGCUGCAUGAAGCCUCAAGGCAGGAUAGUGAAAAGAGGCCGACGCGAGCGCAGCGCGCGCGCAUCGACAUGACGGAAUAGACACUCAGCCCCUCCCCCUUUCG